CAGGGCUCUGACAUUUUACCAAGGAUUAAUUCCCAUGCCUUCAGCUUUGGAAUCUGUAGAGCUGCCUGGGAACCAUACCCAGUCCAACUGAUCAACUGCUGCUCAGCCCUUUACGUGGCUUCACAGAUGGUUCUACCUCAGUGACAGUAAUGGAUCCACAUUCAGGAGGUAGGAUGGCUUGCACUUGUACCAAGAAGUGGCAGCUAGUGGGAAGUCUCCAACCAUCAAGCCAAUGGGGAUAGAUACAGAGCCAGAAGAGCUUAUGGAAGUGGACCAACCUCCAUCAAGAUGGAACCACAAGCACCAUCACUGUCAUGCAGCGGAAAAGGAGAUCAAGACUUGAACCCCACCUCUAACAUCACAAUGCCAUGGGGUCCCAUCCACCUUCCCCCAGAUGGCCUAGUUAAUGCUGGUGCUGAACAGCCCAUCCUGUAAGUUUACCAUUAGCCAGGAAAGCCUCAACUUUUGGACCACGACAGGCUCACAUGAGAUGCUAAUUUCCUGGGAAUUAUUCUUUCUGGCAGCCAAAUCUCCUAUAAUCCCACCCUUCCCAUCUGUCAUCUCUCCUUCACCAGAUGGAAAAAGGGAGAGUAGGGACUGGCAUUCUCUAAACUGCUGUGCUGGGACAAAGGGAGGAAUCCAGAGGAGGGACCUGAGCUGCCUGGGGCUGCAAAUAGGUGUCAAAUAUGUUACAGAGAUGGCCAUUCCUGUGGUGAAGCAGAAGACUUUGAUUCUGACAGGAAGAACGCUGACAUUCAGCAUGAAGGACCUUCCCCCCCACCCCCCCAAAACUAGACAAUAAAUGAUUCUAAGAAAAGAACAAAAAAAUUACCAAAAUUACCAAUAUUGAAAAAAAAAAAAACCUGAAUCCACAAGAAUUACCACAACAAUAGAAUUACCUCUGUACUAUGGGAACUUGAGACUCCGCAUGUGGAUUCUUGUGUUCCUUGCUAGUCUCCAGAGUACAGAAAAGACAUUGCCGUGUGGGGGUGAGGGCCCACCCCAGGGCCUGGGAGGGGUCAGGG
ensembl:lncRNA